rnacentral:rRNA from 1 species
GACGAACGCUGGCGGCGUGCUUAACACAUGCAAGUCGAACGGAAAGGCCCGGCUUUUGUGGGGGGCUCGAGUGGCGAACGGGUGAGUAACACGGGAGUAUCCUGCCCUUGACUUGGGGAUAACUUCAGGAAACUGGGGCUAAUACCGGAUAGGAGCUCCUGCUGCAUGGUGGGGGUUGGAAAGUUUCGGCGGUUGGGGAUGGACUCGCGGCUUAUCAGCUUGUUGGGUGGGUAGUGGCUUACCAAGGCUUUGACGGGUAGCCGGCAUGAGAGGGUGACCGGCCACCUUGGGCCUGCGAGACGGCCCAGACUCCUACGGGAGGCAGCAGUGGGGAAUCUUGCCCAAUGGGCGGAAGCCUGAUGCAGAAACGCCGCGUGCGGGAUGACGGCCUUCGGGUUGUAAACCGCUUUCGCCUGUGACGAAGCGUGAGUGACGGUAAUGGGUAAAGAAGCACCGGCUAACUACGUG